GGGUUGUGAGGUUAAGCGACUAAGCGUACACGGUGGAUGCCCUGGCAGUCAGAGGCGAUGAAGGGCGUGCUAAUCUGCGAUAAGCGCCGGUAAGGUGAUAUGAACCGUUAUAACCGGCGAUACCCGAAUGGGGAAACCCAGUGUGACUCGUCACACUAUCAUUAACUGAAUCCAUAGGUUAAUGAGGCGAACCGGGGGAACUGAAACAUCUAAGUACCCCGAGGAAAAGAAAUCAACCGAGAUUCCCCCAGUAGCGGCGAGCGAACGGGGAGAAGCCCAGAGCCUGAAUCAGCAUGUGUGUUAGUGGAAGCGUCUGGAAAGGCGUGCGAUACAGGGUGACAGCCCCGUACACAAAAGCGCAUGUGCUGUGAGCUCGAUGAGUAGGGCGGGACACGUGGUAUCCUGUCUGAAUAUGGGGGGACCAUCCUCCAAGGCUAAAUACUCCUGACUGACCGAUAGUGAACCAGUACCGUGAGGGAAAGGCGAAAAGAACCCCGGCGAGGGGAGUGAAAAAGAACCUGAAACCGUGUACGUACAAGCAGUGGGAGCCCCACCACCAAAGCAUUCUCUGGUGUUGAAGGCCCUGCAAAGCAGCAUCGCGGUGGCGGAGCGUCGUUUGCGACGCCCAACACACAAAACAAGCGGUGAGUGCUUUGGGGUGG
rnacentral:rRNA from 1 species